rnacentral:miRNA from 1 species
CUGGGACCUUGGGCUUACGGU